GAAUAUUGGACAAUGGGCGGAAGCCUGAUCCAGCCAUGCCGCGUGUGUGAAGAAGGCCUUUUGGUUGUAAAGCACUUUACGUUGGGAGGAAGGGCAGUAAGCGAAUACCUUGCUGUUUUGACGUUACCGACAGAAUCAGCACCGGCCAACGCUGUGCCAGCAGCCGCGGUAAUACAGAGGGAGCAAGCGUUAAUCGGAAUUACUGGGCGUAAAGCGAGCGUAGGUGGUUCGUUAAGUUGGAUGUGAAAGCCCCGGGCUCAACCUGGGAACUGCAUCCAAAACUGGCGAGCUAGAGUAGGGCAGAGGGUGGUGGAAUUUCCUGUGUAGCGGUGAAAUGCGUAGAUAUAGGAAGGAACACCAGUGGCGAAGGCGACCACCUGGGCUCAUACUGACACUGAGGUGCGAAAGAGUGGGGAGCAAACA
rnacentral:rRNA from 1 species